CAACGUGUGGCGAGAGGUCGCAGGUGGUUUUGACCCGCUUGUUCAUUCGGUGA
rnacentral:tRNA from 1 species